GUAAACAAGCACAUCAGCAAAUAAAGCAAUUUAUUUAUUGAAGAAAUUCUUCCUUUCCAAUCUUCAUACUGUUUGCUUGUUUGUUUUCUUAACUGUGCUAGCUUGGACCACUGAAGAAUGUCAAAAGUUCAUGUGCAUUUAGGAUUAUUUUAUCUUCUGAUGAACUGGUCCUUUUGUGUUUAUGAGAUGCCCCUCUGGUCAUACUCCUUGUCUUGAAGUCCACUCCUCCUCACAUGAAUAUCCUCACUCCAGCUUUCUUAUGCUCCACGUUUAUAGGGUGAACUUGGGCUCCAGAGUCUCCACCUUCCACCUGCUCUGCACCUCAUCUGUACCUUUGUGGAGAUUCUCCAGGGGCUCCAGCACUCCCCUCCGGAAGGAGGCCAUGGGGUCUUGAACACAGGACCGAAGGCUCAGC